rnacentral:rRNA from 1 species
UACGGAGGGGACUAGCGUUGUUCGGAAUUACUGGGCGUAAAGCGCGCGUAGGCGGAUCGUUAAGUCAGGGGUGAAAUCCUGGGGCUCAACCCCAGAACUGCCCUUGAUACUGGCGAUCUUGAGUUCGAGAGAGGUGAGUGGAAUUCCGAGUGUAGAGGUGAAAUUCGUAGAUAUUCGGAGGAACACCAGUGGCGAAGGCGGCUCACUGGCUCGAUACUGACGCUGAGGUGCGAAAGCGUGGGGAGCAAACAGG